rnacentral:lncRNA from 1 species
UAAAAAUUUUAAAUUCAAAUUCAAAGUACUAAAAUACUUAGGUAGUGUUUGGAUUGAGUACAAAAUGGGGUAUAAGGAUCUUAUAUCCCAUCUUGUACCCAAAUAAGAUUUAGUUAAGAUGAGAACUAUAAUUCCCACCCCGGGUGGAAAUGGGUACAGAGAGAGAGAUAGAGUUUUGUUUUAAAAUAGAAUUUAAAUUUUUAAAAUUUUAAAUUCUAAAUUUUAAUGUUUAAAAUUUAAAUUUGAUAUUAUAAAUUUUUAAAUUUUAAAUUUGAUAUUUUAUAUAUUUCAAAUUUAAAUUUGGUCUUAAAUUUAAAAUUUAAAAUUUAUAUAUUUGAAUAUUUAAAUUUUAAAUUUUAAUUUNAAGAGACCAAUAGGCACUAUUUAAUUCUAACAAUUUGAUGGGAAUAAAAAGUUUAAAUUCAAAUUCAAAGUACUAAAAUACUUAGGUAGUGUUUGAAUUGGGUACAAAAUGGGGUAUAAGAAUCUUAUAUCCCAUCUUGUAUCCAAAUAAGAUUUAGUUAAGAUGAGAACUAUAAUUCUCACCCCGGAUGGAAAUGGGAACAGAGAGAGAGAGAGAGUUUUGUUUUAAAAUAGAAUUUAAAUUUUUAGAAUUUAAAAUUUGUAAUUUUAAAAUUAAAAUUUUAAAUUCUAAAUUUUAAAGUUUAAAAUUUAAAUUUGAUAUUAUAAAUUUUUAAAUUUUAAAUUUGAUAUUUUAUAUAUUUCAAAUUUAAAUUUGGUCUUAAAUUUAAAAUUUAUAUAUUUAAAUAUUUAAAUUUUAAAUUUUAAUUUCAAAUUUUAAAAUUUAAAAGUUAAAAUUUUAAAAUUGAAAUUAUAUGUUUAAAAUUUUAAAAAUUAAAUUCAAUUAUAUGAAUAAUAUCAUUAUUUUUUAUUUAUAACCAUCAACUAUUUGUCUUAUUUUCAAUAACUAUCCAAACACAAUUUUUCUAGUUCCAGCUUAUACUCAUAUUUUCAUCCAAACAAAAAAAAUAAUCUUAUUCUUACAAAAACUCAUAUUUGUAUCUAUCCGUGGAAUAACUAGUUCCUACUAAUUUCUGAACCAAACGAAGUCUC